rnacentral:rRNA from 1 species
GAUGAACGCUGGCGGCGUGCCUAAUACAUGCCAGUCGAGCGAACAGACGAGGAGCUUGCUCCUCUGACGUUAGCGGCGGACGGGUGAGUAACACGUGGAUAACCUACCUAUAAGACUGGGAUAACUUCGGGAAACCGGAGCUAAUACCGGAUAAUAUCUUGAACCGCAUGGUUCAAUAGUGAAAGACGGUUUUGCUGUCACUUAUAGAUGGAUCCGCGCCACAUUAGCUAGUUGGUAAGGUAACGGCUUACCAAGGCAACGAUGCGUAGCCGACCUGAGAGGGUGAUCGGCCACACUGGAACUGAGACACGGUCCAGACUCCUACGGGAGGCAGCAGUAGGGAAUCUUCCGCAAUGGGCGAAAGCCUGACGGAGCAACGCCGCGUGAGUGAUGAAGGUCUUCGGAUCGUAAAACUCUGUUAUUAGGGAAGAACAAAUGUGUAAGUAACUAUGCACGUCUUGACGGUACCUAAUCAGAAAGCCACGGCUAACUACGUG